AGUGAACGCUGGCGGUAGGCCUAGCACAUGCAAGUCGAACGGCAGCACAGUAAGAACUUGCUCUUACGGGUGGCGAGUGGCGGACGGGUGAGGAAUACAUCGGAAUCUACUUUUUCGUGGGGGAUAACGUAGGGAAACUUACGCUAAUACCGCAUACGACCUACGGGUGAAAGCAGGGGAUCUUCGGACCUUGCGCGAUUGAAUGAGCCGAUGUCGGAUUAGCUAGUUGGCGGGGUAAAGGCCCACCAAGGCGACGAUCCGUAGCUGGUCUGAGAGGAUGAUCAGCCACACUGGAACUGAGACACGGCCCAGACUCCUACGGGAGGCAGCAGUGGGGAAUAUUGGACAAUGGGCGCAAGCCUGAUCCAGCCAUACCGCGUGGAUGAAGAAGGCCUCCGGGUUGUAAAGCCCUUUUGUUGGGAAAGAAAAGCAGCAGGUUAAUACCCCGCUGUUCUGACGGUACCCAAAGAAUAAGCACCGGCUAACUUCGU
rnacentral:rRNA from 1 species